CUCUGAGACAGGUGCUGCAUGGCUGUCGUCAGCUCGUGUUGUGAAAUGUUGGGUUAAGUCCCGCAACGAGCGCAACCCUUAUCCUUUGUUGCCAGCGGUCCGGCCGGGAACUCAAAGGAGACUGCCAGUGAUAAACUGGAGGAAGGUGGGGAUGACGUCAAGUCAUCAUGGCCCUUACGAGUAGGGCUACACACGUGCUA
rnacentral:rRNA from 2 species